rnacentral:rRNA from 1 species
GACGAACGCUGGCGGCGUGCCUAAUACAUGCAAGUCGAACGCUGAAGGAGGAGCUUGCUUCUCUGGAUGAGUUGCGAACGGGUGAGUAACGCGUAGGUAACCUGCCUGGUAGCGGGGGAUAACUAUUGGAAACGAUAGCUAAUACCGCAUAAUAGUAGAUGUUGCAUGACAUUUGCUUAAAAGGUGCAAUUGCAUCACUACCAGAUGGACCUGCGUUGUAUUAGCUAGUUGGUGGGGUAACGGCUCACCAAGGCGACGAUACAUAGCCGACCUGAGAGGGUGAUCGGCCACACUGGGGAUGAGCCAGGGCCCAGACUCCUGCGGGAGGGAGCAGUAGGGAAUCUUCGGCAAUGGGCGGAAGUCUGCCCGAGCGACGCCGCGUGAGUGAAGAAGGUUUUCGGAUCGUAAAGCUCUGUUGUGAGGGAAGAACGAGUGUGAGAGUGGAAAGUGCACACUGGGGCGGGAUCGUACCAGAAAGGGACGGCGAACUACGU